rnacentral:antisense_RNA from 1 species
AAAGGGGAUGACACGAAGAGAUGUGCAAAGAAUCUGAAGAAUUCACCUGAAAAGGAUACAACCUCCUCCUGGAAGGCAGAGGAGUAAAUAGGGAAUUGGAAAUUAAUUCCUUAUUUCUGCACAUGCACAGAAUCUGGGCCCAGGUGACUUAUGGAACCUUUAUAGAGACCAAGGUGACUGACAUUCAUGGGAAAGGGGGUAGAGGGGCAAGAACUGACUGUUCAUCAAAAAUUAUUAGAUGAGUGUGUCCACGACACCAGGAGAUAUGUUGAAUCAUGGACAGGGACCAGCAUAUCCACUAAGCUCUAUAUAUCUUGAUGGUGCAGGAUCCAAGUGGGAUGCAACAACAAAUUCCUGCCCAUCCUACUGCUCAAUAAUACAUGUGCUCAGAAUCUGUUCAUAAUGCAUGGUGAUGGAGUCUCACUCUAUUGCCAAGCUGGAGUGCAGUGGUGCGAUCUCGGCUCACUGCAACCUCCGCCUCCUGGGUUCAAGCAAUUCUCCUGCCUCAGCCUUCCGAGUAGUUGGGACUACAGGCACGCACCGUCACGCCUGGCUAAUUUUUUGUAUUUUGGUAGAGACGGGGUUUCACCAUGUUGGCCGGGAUGGUCUCAAUCUCCUGACCUCGUGAUCCACCCGCCUCAGCCUCCCAAAGUGCU